UUUUUUGCUAUCUUCAAAGGAAAUAAAAAUGGCGAUGGGCAUGCUCAAGAUUUGUCUGUGCCUAAUGCUGAUAUUGCUUUCGGUUCCAAGCUCCCGUGCACGAGCUCCCCAUGUCGUGAUUCGAGGGAAGACCCUUAGUAUGGUGGUUCGAGCAUUACGUGAAGACUAUGGAAAUGGAGAUAACAGGCAAGGAAGCCCUUAUGAGCUUAUGAGGGCAAGUCCCAGAGGUCCUAAUCCGCAACAUCAUUGAACAAGAUGAUUGCCACCUCCUUCUAUUUGCAAAUGGCGUCCCAGGGAGCAUGAGACAAUGCUUUUGUUUCUUUAUUGUCUCUCUUUCACUAUCAUUUUCUAAUGUAAUAUCAUAGUCAGGUUUUCACGUUGAGUGGCUUACGGAAUUUGUGGGAAUGGCAAGGAAGAGUACUGCAUUUAUUGUGUUUAUCAUAAGCGGACUUAUAGCAG
rnacentral:lncRNA from 1 species